rfam:Apaloderma vittatum contig40475, whole genome shotgun sequence.
GGGCCGGUCAGCUCAAUCGGUUAGAGUGUGGUGCUGAUAACACCGAGGUCGCGGGUUCGAUCCCUGCUUGGUCCC